rnacentral:rRNA from 1 species
GCACAAGCGGUGGAGCAUGUGGUUUAAUUCGAUGCAACGCGAAGAACCUUACCUGGUCUUGACAUCCAUGGAAUCCUUCAGAGAUGAGGGAGUGCCCGGUUUACCGGAACCAUGAGACAGGUGCUGCAUGGCUGUCGUCAGCUCGUGUCGUGAGAUGUUGGGUUAAGUCCCGCAACGAGCGCAACCCUGCUUCCAGUUACCAUCAUUAAGUUGGGGACUCUGGAAGGACCGCUGCGGUAACAACGCAGAGGAAGGUGGGGACGACGUCAAGUCAUCAUGGUCCUUAUGACCAGGGCUACACACGUGCUACAAUGGUAGUCACAGAGGGAAGCGAUACGGCAACGUGGAGCAAAUCUCAGAAAAGCUACCUUAGUUCGGAUUGAGGUCUGCAACUCGACCUCAUGAAGUUGGAAUCGCUAGUAAUCGCGCAACAGCAUGGCGCGGUGAAUACGUUCCCGGGCCUU